rnacentral:rRNA from 1 species
UACGGAAGGCAGCAGUGGGGAAUAUUGCACAAUGGGCGCAAGCCUGAUGCAGCCAUGCCGCGUGUAUGAAGAAGGCCUUCGGGUUGUAAAGUACUUUCAGUCGUGAGGAAGGUGUUAAGGUUAAUAACCUUAGCAAUUGACGUUAGCGACAGAAGAAGCACCGGCUAACUCCGUGCCAGCAGCCGCGGUAAUACGGAGGGUGCGAGCGUUAAUCGGAAUUACUGGGCGUAAAGGGCACGCAGGCGGUUAAUUAAGUUGGAUGUGAAAUCCCCGGGCUUAACCUGGGAAUGGCAUUCAAGACUGGUUAGCUAGAGUCUUGUAGAGGGGGUGAAUUCCAUGUGUAGCGGUGAAAUGCGUAGAGAUGUGGAGGAAUACCGGUGGCGAAGGCGGCCCCUGGACAAGACUGACGCUCAUGUGCGAAAGCGUGGGGAGCAAACGAGGAUUAGAUACC